AUUGAACGCUGGCGGCAUGCUUUACACAUGCAAGUCGAACGGUAACAGGCCGCAAGGUGCUGACGAGUGGCGAACGGGUGAGUAAUGCAUCGGAACGUGCCCAGUCGUGGGGGAUAACGCAGCGAAAGCUGCGCUAAUACCGCAUACGAUCUAUGGAUGAAAGCGGGGGACCGUAAGGCCUCGCGCGAUUGGAGCGGCCGAUGUCAGAUUAGGUAGUUGGGGGGGUAAAGGCUCACCAAGCCAACGAACUGUAGCUGGUCUGAGAAGACGACCAGCCACACUGGGACUAGGACACGGCCCAGACGCCUACGGGAGGCAGCAGUGGGGAAUUUUGGACAAUGGCCGCAAGCCUGAUCCAGCAAUGCCGCGUGCAGGAAGAAGGCCUUCGAGUUGUAAACUGCUUUUGUACGGAACGAAACGGUCCUGGUUAAUACCCGGGGCUAAUGACGGUACCGUAAGAAUAAGCACCGGCUAACUACGUGCCAGCAGCCGCCGUAAUAC
rnacentral:rRNA from 1 species